rnacentral:rRNA from 1 species
UACGAAGGGGGCUAGCGUUGCUCGGAAUCACUGGGCGUAAAGGGCGCGUAGGCGGGUGCCACAGUCCGCGGUGAAAUCCUCCGGCUUAACCGGAGAACGGCCGCGGAUACUCGGCACCUCGAGCGAGGUAGGGGCGUGCGGAACACUAGGUGGAGCGGUGAAAUGCGUUGAUAUCUAGUGGAACUCCGGUGGCGAAAGCGGCGCGCUGGACCUCUUCUGACGCUGAGGCGCGAAAGCCAGGGGAGCGAACGGG